CUAUACAUGACUCUGCGCAUAUCAAUAAGCGGAGGAAAAGAGGCUAUUACCUACGCUUAGGAUGUUGACGAGACUGUCGAUCUCAUCUAUACAUGACUCUGUGCAUAUCAAUAAGCGGAGGAAAAGAAACUAACAAGGAUUCCCUUAGUAACGGCGAGUGAAGCGGGAAGAGCUCAAAUUUGAAAUCUUCAAGGUUCUACCUUGACGAAUUGUAGUUUAAAGAAGUGUUUCCUGUUGGAGUUUUGGUAAAAGUUCUUUGGAAUAGGACAUCAUAGAGGGUGAGAAUCCCGUAUUUGACCAUUAUUUCCAACUUUGUGAUACACUUUCAAAGAGUCGGAUUGUUUGGGAAUGCAGUCCAAAAUGGGUGGUAAAUUUCAUCUAAAGCUAAAUACUGGCGAGAGACCGAUAGCGAACAAGUACCGUGAGGGAAAGAUGAAAAGAACUUUGAAAAGAGAGUUAAACAGUACGUGAAAUUGUCAAAAGGGAAGCGUUUGACACCAGUGUUGUUUUCUCGAAAAUCAAUUAAAAAUGAUGGGAUUUUGUGUUGUAUUGACUUUAUCGGCUUUCUGCACUUUUUUCAUGUCUUUUUUAAUGCACUUUUCGUUUAACAAGUCAACAUCAAUUUCUUUUGUUGUAAAAGGGUUAUUGGAAGGUGGCUUUCUCUUCGGAGAAAGUGUUUAUAGCCUUUAACCUCUGCAAUCGGAGAGAUUGAGGUCUGCAGCGUAGAUCCUUCGGGGUUAGAUACAUUUGUGCUAAGUUAUAGUCUUUUAUAGACAACUUGUUGACUAUGAUUGAUCUUGUAGCUUACUCGCUUAUGCUAUUUUACCUACGCCUUAGGAUGUUGACGAGACUGUCGAUCUC
rnacentral:rRNA from 1 species